GUUAUAUGGUCAAGUGAAUAAGUGCAUACGAUGGAUGCCUAGGCAGUAGAAGGCGAUGAAGGACGUGGUAGUCUGCGAUAAGCCUCGGAUAGCUGGCAAACUAGCUUUGACCCGAGGAUUUCCGAAUGGGGGAACCCGAUCACUUCGGUGAUCAUCGCUAUCUGAAUUCAUAGGAUAGCGAAGCGAACUCAGGGAACUGAAACAUCUAAGUACCUGAAGGAAAAGAAAUCAACCGAGAUUCCCUAAGUAGCGGCGAGCGAACGGGGACCAGCCCUUAAGCUUAUUGAUUGCUAGUAGAACGCUCUGGAAAGUGCGGCCAAAGACGGUGAUAGCCCGGUAUACGAAAGCACUGAUUAAGUAAAAUCGAGUAGAACGGGACACGAGAAAUCCUGUUUGAACAUGGGGGGACCAUCCUCCAAGGCUAAAUACUCUCUACUGACCGAUAGUGAACUAGUACCGUGAGGGAAAGGCGAAAAGAACCCUGGUGAAGGGAGUGAAAUAGAACCUGAAAUCGUAUGCAUACAAGCAGUGGGAGCACCUUCGGGUGUGACUGCGUACCUUUUGUAUAAUGGGUCAGCGACUUACUUUUAGUGGCAAGCUUAACCGCAUAGGGAAGGCGUAGGGAAACCGAGUCUUAAUUGGGCGAAUUAGUCGCUAGGAGUAGACCCGAAACCGGGCGAUCUAUCCAUGGUCAGGGUGAAGGUGAGGUAACACUUACUGGAGGCCCGAACCGGGUAAUGUUGAAAAAUUAUCGGAUGAACUGUGGAUAGGAGUGAAAGGCUAAUCAAGCUCGGAGAUAGCUGGUUCUCCUCGAAAUCUAUUUAGGUAGAGCCUCAUGUAUAACUCCAGGGGGUAGAGCACUGUUAUGGCUAGGGGGUCAUCCCGACUUACCAACCCAUUGCAAACUCCGAAUACCUGGAAGUUCAAUCAUGGGAGACACACGGCGGGUGCUAACGUCCGUCGUGGAAAGGGAAACAACCCAGACCGCCAGUUAAGGUCCCAAAAUUACAGCUCAGUGGGAAACGAUGUGGGAAGGCUAAAACAGCCAGGAGGUUGGCUUAGAAGCAGCCAUCCUUUAAAGAAAGCGUAAUAGCUCACUGGUCGAGUCGGCCUGCGCGGAAGAUUUACCGGGGCUAAGCUGUAUACCGAAACUGCGGAUGCUGCAUUCUUAGGAAUGUAUGCAUGGUAGAGGAGCGUUCCGUAAGCCGUUGAAGGUGUGUUGAGAAGCAUGCUGGAGGUAUCGGAAGUGCGAAUGCUGACAUGAGUAACGAUAAUGCGGGUGAAAAACCCGCACGCCGAAAACCCAAGGGUUCCUGCGCAACGUUAAUCGGCGCAGGGUUAGUCGGUUCCUAAGGCGAGGCCGAAAGGCGUAGUCGAUGGAAAACUGGUCAAUAUUCCAGUACUUUGUAUUACUGCGAUGGGGGGACGGAGAAGGCUAAACAUACCGGACAUUGGUUGUUCCGGGGAAAGUGUGUAGGCAGAGGUCUUUGGUAAAUCCGGGAUCUUAAUGUCGAGACACGAGACCAUCGGUCUUUGUACCGAGAAGUUGUUGAUGCCAUGCUUCCAAGAAAAGCCUCUAAGCUUCAGGUAAUACAGAACCGUACCCCAAACCAACACAGGUGGGUGGGAUGAGAAUUCUAAGGCGCUUGAGAGAACUCGGGUGAAGGAACUAGGCAAAAUAGCACCGUAACUUCGGGAGAAGGUGCGCCUUGGCUGGUGAUGAGACUUGCUCUCUGAGCUGGCUAAGGUUGCAAUAAAAUGGUGGCUGCGACUGUUUACUAAAAACACAGCACUCUGCAAACACGCAAGUGGACGUAUAGGGUGUGACGCCUGCCCGGUGCCGGAAGGUUAAUUGAUGAGGUUAGUCUUCGGACGAAGCUUUUGAUCGAAGCCCCGGUAAACGGCGGCCGUAACUAUAACGGUCCUAAGGUAGCGAAAUUCCUUGUCGGGUAAGUUCCGACCUGCACGAAUGGCGUAACGAUGGCCACACUGUCUCCACCCGAGACUCAGUGAAAUUGAAAUCGCUGUGAAGAUGCAGUGUACCCGCGGCUAGACGGAAAGACCCCGUGCACCUUUACUACAGCUUUACAUUGAACUUUGAACCUGCUUGUGCAGGAUAGGUGGGAGGCUUCGAAGCGAUCACGUCAGUGGUUGUGGAGCCAACCUUGAGAUACCACCCUGGCACGUUUGGAGUUCUAACCCAGGUCCCUUAUCGGGAUCGGGAACCAUGUAUGGUGGGUAGUUUGACUGGGGCGGUCUCCUCCUAAAGAGUAACGGAGGAGCGCGAAGGUACCCUAAGUACGGUCGGAAAUCGUACGGUUUGUGCAAAGGCAUAAGGGUGCUUGACUGCGAGACAGACACGUCGAGCAGGUGCGAAAGCAGGUCUUAGUGAUCCGGUGGUUCUGAAUGGAAGGGCCAUCGCUCAACGGAUAAAAGGUACGCCGGGGAUAACAGGCUGAUACUGCCCAAGAGUCCAUAUCGACGGCAGUGUUUGGCACCUCGAUGUCGGCUCAUCACAUCCUGGGGCUGAAGCAGGUCCCAAGGGUAUGGCUGUUCGCCAUUUAAAGUGGUACGCGAGCUGGGUUUAGAACGUCGUGAGACAGUUCGGUCCCUAUCUACCGUGGGCGUUUGAGAUUUGAGGGAAGCUGCUCCUAGUACGAGAGGACCGGAGUGGACGAACCUCUGGUGUUCCGGUUGUCACGCCAGUGGCAUUGCCGGGUAGCUAUGUUCGGAAGGGAUAACCGCUGAAAGCAUCUAAGCGGGAAGCCUCUCCCAAGAUGAGAUCUCACUGGGAAUUUAAUUCCCCUGAAGGGCCCUUGAAGACUACAAGGUUGAUAGGCUGGGUGUGGAAGCGCAGUAAUGCGUGAAGCUAACCAGUACUAAUUGCCCGUGCGACUUGACCAUAUAACACUCAAGC
rnacentral:rRNA from 1 species